CUCCCCUGCCGGGGGCACUUGAAGGCAAAGAGCUUAAAAUGUUCCCUUCCCCAGCGCCACAGGUAUAGUGGCAAACACCGCGGAGAGAGAAGCGGGGGAGACUGACUUGGCACUGCCGGUGCAGAGAGGAGAUCAGUGCGCGACUGAUUAUCGUAGUUGUCUUGUUCUUGACAUAUUAGGACACAUGAGAGAGAAGGCCUAGGAGCAGCAGCAGCAGCAGUGAUUGAUGAAGUGACAUGGAGAUGAUCACCCAGCAGUGGAAGGAGUUGUGUCUACGAUUUCAAACUGAGGGACACAUCUUCCUCAGGUACUGGCUGUCUGGAGCCCAUCUAUCAUCACCUGAGCCUGACACCACUGGCACCCCGUACAAGUCUUGGUGCCACCCCUGGAGGAUGUGAUGUCUGACAUACGAGCAAUGUCUUCUAUAAAUUCUCCUGGGAGGAAAGUCCCUUACCAUCCUGCCAGCAAAUGCACCUGAAUUUGCAUGGCACAAAUACAUCCCAUGGACCCCAUUGCUUGGAGCUGACUCCCACAUCACAUUCACCUGUGUGAAUCAUGGGUUCCUGUCCCUCAGGGUGAAGGUGCAGCUGGGGAAGGUGCAGGACAUCUAUCUGCACUUUCUAUUGAAAAACAUACACCUGUAUUUUUCUUCCUUGUCUAACUUCCAU